rnacentral:rRNA from 1 species
CCUACGGGCUGCACCAGUGGGGAAUAUUGCACAAUGGGCGCAAGCCUAAUGCAGCCAUGCCGCGUGUAUGAAGAAGGCCUUCGGGUUGUAAAGUACUUUCAGCGGGGAGGAAGGUGUUGUGGUUAAUAACCACAGCAAUUGACGUUACCCGCAGAAGAAGCACCGGCUUACUCCGUGCCAGCAGCCGCGGUAAUACGGAGGGUGCAAGCGUUAAUCGGAAUUACUGGGCGUAAAGCGCGCGCAGGCGGUCUGUCAAGUCGGAUGUGAAAUCCCCGGGCUCAACCUGGGAACUGCCUUCGAAACUGGCAGGCUAGAGUCUUGUAGAGGGGGGUAGAAUUCCAGGUGCAGCGGUGAAAUGCGUAGAGAUCUGGAGGAAUACCGGUGGCGAAGGCGGCCCCCUGGACAAAGACUGACGCUCAGGUGCGAAAGCGUGGGGAGCAAACAGGAUUAGAUACCCCGGUAGUC